CUUUAUCAGUCGGUGUUCAUGUUAUAACCAAUAAUGUCUCGCGAUGAUAGACUUGUUUUUCCCUGACUAGGUGGGCUUUUCAUAAUUGUUUUUUUUUUAAUUUGACAGAACACUCUUAGAAAAAGAAAAUCCUGUAAUAAAGCAGAAAAGUGCAGUGGAGGUUUAAGAAAAGGGUUGUGUGUAGGAAGAGGAAGAGACGCACAUGUAUGUGCAGGAGCAGUGCUGGGCAUCACCUGUUUCCAGCCACCACCGCAGAUGGGUUCCAUGCUGGUGUCCAAAGGGGUCGUUUCAUUCCCGUACUAAAGGCAAAGGCAGCGUCUUCUUUGCCUCGUGUCAGAAAAAAAAGGAAGACCUUCUCAUCUCCCUGACUUCCCAGCCCCUCAGCUCUCAGCCUCCAUAUUUUUCUACCAUAGAUGACCGUGCAAACACCACUUUACCAUACCAACAGAGCACCCUCCCCCAGAGUGAGCCCAGUGUCUUCAUCCCACUGCAUCCCUUAGAUCAGAGGAGACUUCUGGGGUUGAGGAGGAAAGACUCAGACCCUGUGAGUCACAGUCAGCGAGCUGAUGUUUGCACAGCUUCUUCCCCAUCAUUAAUGUCUGUCCUUCUCUAAUGCCACCACAUCCACUCUGAC
rnacentral:lncRNA from 1 species